AGUGAACGCUGGCGGUAGGCCUAACACAUGCAAGUCGAACGGCAGCACAGUAAGAGCUUGCUCUUACGGGUGGCGAGUGGCGGACGGGUGAGGAAUACAUCGGAAUCUACUUUUUCGCGGGGGAUAACGUAGGGAAACUUACGCUAAUACCGCAUACGACCUACGGGUGAAAGCAGGGGAUCUUCGGACCUUGCGCGAUUGAAUGAGCCGAUGUCGGAUUAGCUAGUUGGGGGGGUAAAGGCCCACCAAGGCGACGAUACGUAGCCGGUCUGAGAGGGUGGUCGGCCACACUGGAACUGAGACACGGUCCAGACUCCUACGGGAGGCAGCAGUGGGGAAUAUUGGACAAUGGGCGGAAGCCUGAUCCAGCCAUACCGCGUGUGUGAAGAAGGCCUUCGGGUUGUAAAGCCCUUUUGUUGGGAAAGAAAAGCAGCAGGUUAAUACCCCGCUGUUCUGACGGUACCCAAAGAAUAAGCACCGGCUAACUUCGUG
rnacentral:rRNA from 1 species